CAUUGCACUGAACAGUGGGGCU
rnacentral:miRNA from 1 species